UACGGGGGGGGCAAGCGUUGUUCGGAAUUACUGGGCGUAAAGGGCUUGUAGGUGGCCAACUAAGUCAGACGUGAAAUCCCUCGGCUUAACCGGGGAACUGCGUCUGAUACUGGAUGGCUAGAGUUUGGGAGAGGGAUGCGGAAUUCCAGGUGUAGCGGUGAAAUGCGUAGAUAUCUGGAGGAACACCGGUGGCGAAGGCGGCGUCCUGGACCAACACUGACACUGAUGAGCGAAAGCCAGGGGAGCAAACGGG
rnacentral:rRNA from 1 species